GUAUGCAUGGCUUAGUGUUUAAAAGCACUGGAUGUGAUUCCAAAGAACCAGGGUUCAAUUCCCAGCAUAUACA
rnacentral:tRNA from 1 species